AACGAACGCUGGCGGCAGGCUUAACACAUGCAAGUCGAGCGCCUCGCAAGAGGAGCGGCAGACGGGUGAGUAACGCGUGGGAAUCUACCCAUCUCUACGGAAUAACUCAGGGAAACUUGUGCUAAUACCGUAUACGCCCUUUGGGGGAAAGAUUUAUCGGAGAUGGAUGAGCCCGCGUUGGAUUAGCUAGUUGGUGGGGUAAAGGCCUACCAAGGCGACGAUCCAUAGCUGGUCUGAGAGGAUGAUCAGCCACAUUGGGACUGAGACACGGCCCAAACUCCUACGGGAGGCAGCAGUGGGGAAUAUUGGACAAUGGGCGCAAGCCUGAUCCAGCCAUGCCGCGUGAGUGAUGAAGGCCCUAGGGUUGUAAAGCUCUUUCCCCGGAGAAGAUAAUGACGGUAUCCGGAGAAGAAGCCCCGGCUAACUUCGUGCCAGCAGCCGCAGUAA
rnacentral:rRNA from 1 species